GACGAACGCUGGCGGCGUGCUUAACACAUGCAAGUCGAGCGGUAAGGCCCUUUCGGGGGUACACGAGCGGCGAACGGGUGAGUAACACGUGGGUGACCUGCCCUCAGCUCUGGGAUAAGCCUGGGAAACCGGGUCUAAUACUGGAUAUGACUCCAUGACGCAUGUUGGUGGGGUGGAAAGCCUUGUGCGGCUGAGGAUGGGCCCGCGGCCUAUCAGCUUGUUGGUGGGGUGANGGCCUACCAAGGCGACGACGGGUAGCCGGCCUGAGAGGGCGACCGGCCACACUGGGACUGAGACACGGCCCAGACUCCUACGGGAGGCAGCAGUGGGGAAUCUUGCGCAA
rnacentral:rRNA from 1 species